AUCACUUCCCUCUGAGCAAUAUCCUCCCUGCAGGGCAGAGUCCCAACACUCGGUUACACCUACGGACUCGGCCUAGUGAUAUGGGACACUGAGACUGGAGGGAGGGAAGGGGCUCACCCCACCCUUUCCACACCUUACUCCCAGCUUCUGUCCCCAGGGAGAAGAGCUGCCACAUCAAGCCUCAGGAACUCUCCUUUGACCCUGAACUGCCCACUUCCCUUCUUUCCUGACGGCGCCAGCAGAGGGCACCAGGAGCCACGCAGGAGCUGCGGGACGUCCUGGCCACAGGGAUGCCGCCCUCAGCCAGCCUCACCUGAGGAUGGAACAGGGGGCUGCCUGGUUGCAGCGAUCCUUCAGAGAGCAGUCCCUGCUGCCUUGCACAAAACGCCUCUGAGAUCAGAAGCCCUUUCAUGGAGAGCAGGUUUCAAUUUCCAGUUCUUUUCGGGACGGGAAGCAGAGGGACUUGUGGGCAUUUAUGUGGAAUUGCAACUGAGAAAAUUGAGGCUCAGAGUGUUUAAGUCACUUGCCUGACAUCAUCCAGCUGGUAGGGUUUGCACCUAGAUCGGCCUGACUUCAGAGCCACACUCUUCUCAGCAUUGCUGUUCUGUCUGAUUAUGAAUGGUGCAUCUUAGACAGCAGGCUCGCCCAAGAAGGUAGCAGGCCCUCUGAGAGGAGGCUGUGGGGCAUGCCAGCCUGUCCAAGCCCCUUUCCCAGGCUCCGCCCAUACCCUCCUCUCCUCAGGCCAUCUUAUAACGGAAGGGCUGAAUCUCCCUGACAGUGCCAUCCUGCUCUCAGCCCAGAAAGACUCUUUGAACAGUCACCUUCCCCUCCAUUCAGAGGCUUCUUAGCUCUGGAACAAGGAAAAAAUUUAAAUGAUUCCCAGAGCAUUAUGUGCAAUGGAGGCACCAAGUUACUGUUGGAAACCAUGGCUCCACAAAACCCCUCUCGUGAUGCUGUGGUCCAGUGUUCCCUGAGAGAGAACCCCGAGCCACCAGGAUGUGGGUGGCAGAUGUGAUGAUCAUGCAGAUGGGCUGCCACAGUAGGAAACCGAAAAGCAGCUCUAUCCAGUGCCCUGGUGUGCCCCUGGGUGAGGGUGGGGCAGAGGCUGUGCACUGGGUCUGAGGUCUUAGGAAGUCCAUCUUCCUUAUGUCCCUCUUCAGGGCACUUUCGGUCUCAGAUGAGUGAAAAAUGAGUUGGAGGGCUGGGUGCGGUGUCUCAUGCCUGUGAUCCCAGCACUUUGGGAGGCCGAGGUGGGCGGAUCAUGAGGUCAAGAGAUCGAGACCAUCCUGGCCAACAUAGUGAAACCCUGUCUCUAUUAAAAUACAAAAAUUUGUUGGGUAUGGUGGCAUGCACCUUUAGUCCCAGCUACUCGGGAGGCUGAGGCAGGAGAAUUGCUUGACGCUGGGAGAUGGAGGUUGUAGUGAGCUAAGAUCAUGCCAUUGCAUUCCAGUCUGGCACCUGGCGAAAGAGCAAGACUCUGACUCAGAAAAAAAAAAAUGAGUUGGAGGUGAAAGAAGUUCUCUGGGCAAACCAUUUAGUUCCCAGACGCAGGUUGUCCUGUGGAGGUAAUGACCAUCUCCAUUUUACAGAUGGGGAAGUGGGGGCUCAGAGAGGAGAAAGACUUGCUUGAAGUCACACAGGGAGAAGUCUCUGAACAAGGAGAGCCUAUGGCUUCUUUUUUUUUUUUUUUUUGAGACGGAGUUUCGCUCUUCUUACC
ensembl:lncRNA